rnacentral:rRNA from 1 species
AUUGAACGCUGGCGGCAGGCCUAACACAUGCAAGUCGAACGAGUGGCGGACGGGUGAGUAAUGUCUGGGAAACUGCCUUAUGGAGGGGGAUAACUACUGGAAACGGUAGCUAAUACCGCAUACCAUCAGAUGUGCCCAGAUGGGAUUCGCUUGUUGGGGGGGUAACGGCUCACCAAUGCGACGAUCCCUAGCUGGUCUGAGAGGAUGACCAUCCAAACGGGAAAUGAGACACGGUCCAGACUCCUACGGGAGGCAGCAGUGGGGAAUAUUGCACAAAGGGCGCAAGCCUGAUGAAGCCAUGCCGCGUGUAUGAAGAAGGCCUUCGGGUUGUAAAGUACUUUCAGCGGGGAGGCGUUACCCGCAGAAGAAGCACCGGCUAACUCCGUGCCAGCAGCCGCGGUAAUAC